rnacentral:rRNA from 1 species
UACGGGGAGGGCAAGCGUUGUUCGGAAUUACUGGGCGUAAAGGGCUCGUAGGCGGCCAACUAAGUCGGACGUGAAAUCCCCAGGCUCAACCUGGGAACUGCGUCCGAUACUGGAUGGCUUGAAUUCGGGAGAGGGAUGCAGAAUUCCACGUGUAGCAGUGAAAUGCGUAGAGAUGUGGAGGAACACCGAUGGCGAAGGCAGCCCCCUGGGCCAACACUGACGCUCAGGCACGAAAGCGUGGGGAGCAAACAGG